GCCACUACCGAUCUCUGCCCUCUUGGUGGUAGUGGUCCCCCGGGCCCAGCUGUCUUUUCUUUUAUCUCUUUGUCUUGUGUCUUUAUUUCUACAAUCUCUCAUCUCCGCACACGGGGAGAAAAACCCACCCACCCUGUGGGGCUGGUCCCUACAAGUUGCUACAGCAGCAAAAUGGGGAUAAUAGCACCUACUUUACAAGGAAUGAAGGAAUGCAAACAAUGAGAACAGUGCUAGCAGAGAAGCACUACCUGUGAAUCUGCUAUUACUCAAAGAAGAACUAUUCAAACCAUUGCUAGCAUCAGAUAUUAGGAUUUUAAGUAAAUGUUCACUAAUUUGGUAGUGGAAAUGAUGUUCUAAUGUGGCUCUUUGAUUACCAACAAGGGUUAAACAUUUAAUUAUCAGUGGUUUUGUCUUCUAGGAAUUCUUUUACUCACAUGGUUCUUUGAGGGCCUUAAUGUGUUUCUUACUGAUCUGUAAAACUUAUUAGCAUAGUGACCCUUUAUGUAUGUUAUAUUUGUUGUCAAUAUUUUCCUCAGUUUGCCUUUUGACUUUUUAGAAUAUAGAGUAGCUAAGCAAUAACUGUUGCUUGAAUCAGUGUUGUCUUACUGAGCCAUCCACAUUCUCAUCCCUUCUCAACAGGAAUGACCCCAAGUUUAUCAGAAGGCUCCUGUGGCUCCAGGGUCAACUCUGGGCAUAUCUGACUACAUCACUCCACCCCUACCAUGGUCUCUCCUCUGUACCCCAGCGUUCCAGGGUACUGUCUUCUGAGAGCGCACUUGUCUGCCAACCCCAGUAGCCAGGACUCAGCAUACCUGGCAAACACCUUCAAAACUAGCAAAUCAUGCUGGCUAUCUGCCCCAGGUAGGGCCUUAGCAACUGGCUUCAAGUUGAGAUAAAGUGACAGUGCUUUUCAGGGAUACAGUUUGAAGAUUUCCUGGGCUAUUGUUGCUUCUGGGGUGUUAGGAUUCUAAUAAUUACAACAGGACCCUGUGUAUGUGGUGGGGUUGGAGAGAGCAUCUCAGUACCUCUCCAAGUUCAUCCUCACUAUCUUGAACUGGGGUAUCUUACAUCUCUAUACCAGUGUUUUGCAACCCUGGCUGUACAAACACCAAUGCAGGGGUCUUACCCCUACAGAUUCUGAUUAAUUCAUCUGGUUUGGGGCCUGGGCAUUGGUAUUUGUAAAGUUCUCCAGGUGAUUCUCGUGUGUAGCCAGGGUUGAGAACCACUUUAAGGCCUUUCUGCCUCAGUCAGGGAGGCAAGAGGCUGCAGGUGAUUUUGAGGGAGAAGGGUCAAUAGAGUAAGGGAGGAAGAAACAGGAAACUAGCAGAGUCCCCGGGGGGAGAGAAUGUGUUAUCCUAAAGACCCUUGGUCACAGCCAUGCAGCUGGGCAAACAGAUAACGCCUGGUGGAACAACAGAAGCUGGACCAUGAGAAGGGCAGACAGCAGAAAAUGCCCAGAGAAGGGUUCAAUUUCUUCUUUGGAAGGUGAUGGUAAGGGUGUGGCUCCAGAUUAACUGGUUCUACAGCUCCAGGCAAGGGAGAUGGAAGGCUGAGGGGAGCAGGUCCAUCAGGGAGCAGUUGGGGGAGAACCUAGAGAGGCACUGUCUGUACACUCCAGGGCCAGUGCCCAAGGCCAGAUGCUCCUCAUCUAUUCUCUAAACCACCCCAGGAUCCUCUUGAAGCUUAAGCUAGUUUAGAUUGAGCUUCUGUCACUUUCAACUGAAGCUUGACUAGUAAAAACUCCUGAGGUUAAAGCCUCUAUUGGGUAAAAGAAUUAGAACCAGUGGGAUAGUCCCAGAAAAGAGCUGUGUGGGCUAGGGGCACUGUGAAGACCCAGGGGACAUUGGAACCUGGCCCUGUGCUGUCUUCCAGGAGGAGUGGUACACCCCAGAGAAAUGGCCAGGACAUCAUCAAGAAAGUGAACAGACAACACACACACAGAAUGAGAGAAAAUAUUUGCAAAUCAUUGGUAAAGGACUGGAAUUGGUAUGUCAAAUAUGUGAACAAGUCUUACAACUCAAUAAUAGAAUGACAACCCAACUUUAAAAUGGGCAAAGGAUGUGAAUAGAUAUUUCUCCAAAGAAGAUAUACAAAUGAUCAAUAAACAUGGGAAAAGACAGCCAACAUCAUUCAUUGUUAGGAAAAUGAAAAUCAAAACCACAAUGAGAUACCACUUUGUACCCACUAAUAUGGCUAUAAUAAAAAGGACAGAUAAUAAGCGUUGCUGAGGAUGUGGAGAAAUUGGAAACCUCAUCCACUGCUUGGGGAAAUGGAAAAUGGUGCACCCACUUUGGAAAGCAGCUGGCUGUUCUUCAAAACAUUAAACUGAGUUACCAUCCAACCCAGCAAUUCCACUGCUAGUUAUCUACCUGAGAGAAAUGAAAACAUGUCCUCAUAACAACUUUCACAGGAAUGUUCAUAGUAGCAUUAUGCAUAAUAGCAAAGAAGUGGAAACAACUCAUAUGUCCAUAAACUGCUGGAUAAACAAAAGGUGGUAUAUCCAUUCUGUGAAAUAUUAUUUGGUAAUAAAAAGAAAUGAAGUACUGAUGCAUGCAUGGAUGAACCUUGAAAAUAUUUUGCUAAGAAGCCAGUCACAAAAGACCACAUAUUGUAUGUUUCCAUUUAUAUGAAAUAAAACAGACACAUCCAUGGACAGAAAGUAGGUUAGUAGUUGCCUAGGGCUGAGGAGUGAAUGGAUUGUGGGGAGGUGUUGAGAGGUGAAAGCUAAGGGUGUAGGGUUUCUUUUCGUGGUAAUGACAGUGUUCUAAAAUUGAUUGUGGCCAUGGAUGCACAACUCUGUGACUAUACCAAAAACUUAACUCUUACAAUUAUAAAUAAAUUGUAUGGUAUGGGAAUUAUAUUUCAAUGAAAUUGUUAUUAAAAACAACUCUUUGCCCAGCGGACACCCAAACCUUUCCCCAGCGGACACCCAAACCUUUCCCCAAGAUGGCUGUAAAUUAUCUUGGGGUGGGAAUGGGGAGGUCCUCCUUUGGUCCUAGCUCUUGAUCCAAUAAUUCUGACGUCAUCUACAACACGUUUACCUAGAAAUGAAACUCAGCUCUUUGCUGAAGUUCUAUCCUCCCAAACCACCCUUCUUUCCCUUCCUAGGAAGCAUUCAUGAUUUCACUGUAGAUGGGGCAGGG
rnacentral:lncRNA from 1 species